rnacentral:misc_RNA from 1 species
AAGUCGUAACAAGGUUUCCGUAGGUGAACCUGCGGAAGGAUCAUUACCGAGUUAGGGUCUCCUUCGCGAGGCCCGACCUCCCAACCCUGUGUCUAUUAAACCUGUAUGUGUUGCUUCGGCGGAACGGCGGUUGACACCCUUUCGGGGGAGGAUACCGUCGCCGGGGGAAAAACGGUCUCACGACCGCCCCUGGAGAGCGUCCGCCGAUGGCCCCCUACCAAACAACUCCCAAACCAAAAUAUUGUACCUAAAACUUCUGAAUCAGACCUUUUGAUAUACCAAUCAAAAACAAAACUUUCAACAACGGAUCUCUUGGUUCUG